rnacentral:rRNA from 1 species
CCCUUAGAUGUUCUGGGCCGCACGCGCGCUACACUGACGGAGUCAACGAGUUGUCCUGCAUCGGAAGGUGUGGGUAAUCUUUUGAAACUUCGUCGUGCUGGGGAUAGAUCUUUGCAAUUUUCGAUCUUGAACGAGGAAUUCCUAGUAAGCGUGAUUCACCAGAUCGCGUUGAUUACGUCCCUGCCCUUUGUACACACCGCCCGUCGCUACUACCGAUUGAAUGGUUUAGUGAGGCCUCGGGACUGGCGCGCUCGAGUAGCAAUACACCUGCGCGCCGGGAACUUGGUCAAACUUGAUCAUUUAGAGGAAGUAAAAGUCGUAACA